GAGGGUAUAGCUUAGUGGAGAGUGGGUGCCUAGCAUGCAUGAGGUCCUGGGUUCAAUCCUCAGUGCCUCCA
rnacentral:tRNA from 1 species